rnacentral:tRNA from 1 species
GGUUAUGGCUCAGUGGUAGGGCACUUGCCUUGAAUGUGCAAGGCCCUGGGUUCGAUCCUCAGCACCA